rnacentral:rRNA from 1 species
AGUGAACGCUGGCGGCAGGCCUAACACAUGCCAGUCGAACGGCAGCACAGUAAGUGCUUGCUCUUACGGGUGGCGAGUGGCGGACGGGUGAGGAAUAUAUCGGAAUCUACUUUUUCGUGGAGGAUAACGUAGGGAAACUUACGCUAAUACCGCAUACGACCUACGGGUGAAAGCAGGGGAUCUUUUGACCUUGCGGGAUUGAAUGAGCCGAUGCCGGAUUAGCUAGUUGGCGGGGUAAAAGGCCACCAAGGCGACGAUCCGUAGCCGGACUGAGAGCAUGGUCAGCCACACGAGAGGGGAGACACGGUCCAGACUCCUGCGAGAGGCAGCAGUGGGGAAUGGUAGACAAUGGGCGCGAGCCUGAUACAGCCAUACCGCGUCGGUGAAGAAGGCCUUCGGGUUGGAAAGCCCUUUUGUUGGGAAAGAAAAGCAGCAGGUUAAUACCCCGCGGUUGUGACGGUACCCGAAGAAUAAGCACCGGCUAACUUCGUG